CCCUUAGAUGUUCUGGGCCACACGCGCGUUACACUGAUGAAGCCAGCGAGUAUAUCGCCUUCACCGGAAGGUGCGGGUAAUCUUGUGAAACUUCAUCGUGCUGGGGAUAGACCAUUGCAAUUAUUGGUCUUGAACGAGGAAUUCCUAGUAAGCAUGAGUCAUCAACUCGUGCUGAUUACGUCCCUGCCCUUUGUACACACCGCCCGUCGCUACUACCGAUUGAAUGGUUUAGUGAGAUCUCGGGAUUGGAGACGUUGCGCCGCAAGGCACAUCGUCCCCGAGAACUUGAUCAAACUUGAUCAUUUAGAGGAAGUAAAAGUCGUAACA
rnacentral:rRNA from 1 species